CUGAAAUAUGAAAGUAAAAUUCCCAGUUUGAGAGAUAUACACAUUGCCAUGUACAAGCAUGAUUAUUGGGCUUAUACCAUUGCAACAAAUUUGAUGCCUGUAAUACUUUGUGAGUCCCGUGAAGAUGCCAAUAUGGAUAAUGUCAUCGGUGGUGAAGAAGGUAGCGAUUUCCGUCAAGCUAUGUACAC